UACGUAGGCAGCAAGCGUUGUUCGGAAUUACUGGGCGUAAAGAGUGUGUAGGCGGUGCUCUAAGUUUGGUGUGAAAUCUCCCGGCUCAACCGGGAGGCUGCAUCGAAUACUGGAAUGCUAGAGGGUGGGAGAGGUAAGCGGAAUUCCUGGUGUAGCGGUGAAAUGCGUAGAUAUCAGGAGGAACACCUGUGGUGUAGACAGCUUACUGGACCACUUCUGACGCUGAGACACGAAAGCGUGGGGAGCAAACAGG
rnacentral:rRNA from 1 species